UGUAAAAGCUGGAGAAAGUAAAACUAAAAAUAUAACCUAUUUUUGCUGUGGAAAAGUAGGAUAUAAAGCUAAUGUGUGUGACCAUAGGAAAAUAGAAGCUAAAAGAAAAAUUAAAAAGGUUUGGGUUCCAAAAGGAACCAACAUAGCUAACCUUGAAGGACCCAAGAAAACUUGGGUACCUAAAACUGUAUGAUUUCUUUGUGUAGGAGUGUCUUGCAGCCAAGGUCGACAAAAACUGUUGUUACUUGGAUAGUGGCUACUCAAGACACAUGACGGGUGACAAGGAGCAAUUUUUCACCCUAGAGCCUAAAAAGGGAGGUGCUGUGACUUUUGG
rnacentral:lncRNA from 1 species